CGGGCGGCAGGGUGCCAGCCCCGGGGCUGCGCCGGCGAAUCGGCGGGGCUCGCGGCCUGGGGUGGGAGGCGGGUCUACCGCGCGGCCGCGGCGGCGGAGGAACAGCUCCCAGCCAGCAGCCCGCGAGCUCCGAGCGAGCCUCCCGGAGCCCCUCAUCCCGUUCGGAAGAGGAAGGAACAAAAGGUCCCGGACCCCCGGCUCCGACGGGGCGGGACCCGGAGCCUCGGUCCAGGUUAGAAAAGGAAGGCUAUUUCCUUAGUGUGGAUUGCUGCCUUUAGUAAGAAUAUGUCGUCCAUCUUGCCAUUCACUCCACCAGUUGUGAAGAGACUGCUGGGAUGGAAGAAAUCAGCCGGUGGAUCCGGAGGAGCAGGUGGAGGAGAGCAGAAUGGACAGGAAGAAAAGUGGUGUGAGAAAGCAGUGAAAAGUUUGGUGAAGAAGCUAAAAAAAACAGGACGAUUAGAUGAGCUUGAGAAAGCUAUCACCACUCAAAAUUGUAAUACUAAAUGUGUCACCAUACCAAGCACUUGCUCUGAAAUUUGGGGACUGAGUACACCAAAUACGAUAGAUCAGUGGGAUACAACAGGCCUUUACAGCUUCUCUGAACAAACCAGGUCUCUUGAUGGUCGUCUUCAGGUAUCUCAUCGGAAAGGACUGCCACACGUUAUAUAUUGCCGAUUAUGGCGCUGGCCUGAUCUUCAUAGUCAUCAUGAACUCAAAGCAAUUGAAAACUGCGAAUAUGCUUUUAAUCUUAAAAAGGAUGAAGUAUGUGUAAACCCUUACCACUACCAGAGAGUUGAGACACCAGUUUUGCCUCCUGUGUUAGUACCACGGCACACUGAGAUCCUAACAGAACUACCGCCUCUGGAUGACUAUACCCACUCCAUUCCAGAAAACACUAAUUUCCCAGCGGGAAUUGAGCCCCAGAGUAAUUACAUUCCAGAAACACCACCUCCUGGAUAUAUCAGUGAAGAUGGAGAAACAAGUGAUCAACAGUUGAACCAAAGUAUGGAUACAGGAUCCCCAGCAGAACUAUCUCCUACUACUCUUUCCCCUGUUAAUCAUAGUUUGGACUUGCAGCCAGUUACAUACUCAGAACCUGCAUUUUGGUGUUCAAUAGCCUAUUAUGAAUUAAACCAGAGGGUUGGAGAGACCUUCCAUGCAUCACAGCCCUCACUUACUGUAGACGGCUUCACAGAUCCAUCAAAUUCAGAGAGAUUCUGCUUAGGUUUACUCUCCAACGUCAACCGAAAUGCUACAGUAGAAAUGACAAGAAGACAUAUAGGAAGAGGAGUGCGCUUAUAUUACAUAGGUGGGGAAGUUUUUGCUGAGUGCCUAAGUGAUAGUGCAAUCUUUGUGCAGAGCCCCAAUUGUAAUCAGAGAUACGGCUGGCACCCUGCAACAGUGUGUAAAAUUCCACCAGGCUGUAAUCUGAAGAUCUUCAACAACCAGGAAUUUGCUGCUCUUCUGGCUCAGUCUGUGAAUCAGGGUUUUGAAGCCGUGUAUCAGCUAACUAGAAUGUGCACCAUAAGAAUGAGUUUUGUGAAAGGGUGGGGAGCAGAAUACCGAUAGUGGUACCAGUUACGUAAUUGAGUUUUACAAAAGCACAUUUGUCAUCAAGAGGUAAGAUAGAUUACAAUAGAUUGGAUUCCACAUCAAAGAAAAGGAAGACUUCAGCAUAUUAAAGAAUGGAAUUAAGGCAGACGGUAACAAGCACUCCUUGCUGGAUUGAACUUCAUCUGAAUGGACCUCUGCAGUGGUUGGACAAAGUAUUAACUCAGAUGGGAUCCCCUUCAGUGCGUUGCUCAAGCAUGUCAUAAAGUUCCAUCACCAAUCCAGUCCCAUCAAAAGACUUACUGUAUCAACUCUUCUGUCAUAGUAUUUGUGUGUGGUCCCCAUGGACUGUUUGAAUCCAAAAAUUCAACCGAGAAAACAGCACUUGAGGUCUCAUCAAUUAAAGCACCUUGUGGAAUCCGUUUCCUAUAUUCGAAUAUUAGAUGGGAAAAUUAGUGUCUAGAAAUACCCUCCCAUAAAGGAGGAAGAGAAGAUUUUAAAGACUUACUAAUGUCUUGUUGGGCAUAAAAUUGAGUGUCCCAAAGGCUUAUUAAUAACAGUAGUAGUUAUGUGUACAGGUAAUGUAUCAUGAUCCAGUAUCACAGUAUUGUGCUGUUUAUAUACAUUUUUAGUUUGCAUAAAUUAGGUGUGUGUGUGCUGCUUCUUGAUUUAGGCAAGCUUUUAUAAAGUUACAGUACCUAAUCUGUUAUUCCCACUUCUCCGUUAUUUUUGUGUGUCUUUUUUAAUAUAUAAUAUAUAUCAAGAUUUUCAAAUUAUCAUUUAGAAGCAGAUUUCCCUUGUAGAAAAACUAAUUUUUCUGCCUUUUACCAAAAAUAAACUCUUGGGGGAAGAAAAGUGGAUUAACUUUUGAAAUCCUUGAUCUUACUGUGUUCAGUGAGUCUUAAACAUUUGUUCUUGUUGGUUGGUUGGUUUGUUUAGUGCUAAAUUUCUGUAACAAAGCCUUGCAGAAAAUCUUUUCAAACCUCUUCUCCAUUCCUACUUUUGUUCUGAUACAAAAACAGAAUAGCAUGCUAUCCAUCGCCAGUAAUGGUUGCACUGAUAGUGCCAGCAUCAGUCACUUCUGGGGUACAGUAAGAAUGCAUAUGGAGUAAGUUGCUUUGUCUUACACAUUUCAACAGAUAAUACUUGACUUGUGUGACCUAGUAGUCUAUUCAUUUAUCCUUACACCUCAUAAAAAAUACAUAGGUGGCAGUAUAAUUAUUUUCAGGGAUAUGCUACAAUUAUUCCAUUUGUCCUUUUUUAAAAGCCAAUCUAUAGAUGUAAACACUUUUUUUAAAGGUAUUUUAAAUGUUUCAACAGCACACCUAGUGCUCUUUGAUUUGAGUUUCACUUGAUUUAGUUACCAGAUUAUUUUAUGAAUGGGCCUUUUGUAAAUGUAAUUGUACCUGCAGAAUACCUAGAAAAGUGAUGCUGAGGUGUGGUCAGCAGAUAAGGGCCAUCUGUUUUUAAAAUAUGUUGUAUUCAAUUUAUAAAAUCUUUUUUUUUACAUAAUUAUUAAUGGAAUUUUAAAAAUUUGGGGAGAAGCAGCUUCGCAACUUUUUAAGCUUAUAAUCACCUACAGUCUGAGCUGUUCUUAACUAAAACUGAAUAUAUGUUUGUUACUAGAAUCAACCACAUUUUAUGCUCUGCAGUGAGUGGAACAGAAGCUCUGUGCGUAGUUCGUUCUGCAGCAAGUAACUCCCAGGUCUAAUGUGAAGUUAUUGCUGUUUAAACAUUACUUGUUUGCAUCUCAAUAGAAAUGAAAAAUAACCACUCCUAGUCCCCUACUAGUAAAUUUUUAUAUUUUUAGGAUAAAUAUCUUAGGUACUUGUUUUUUUAAACCAUAGUCACCUGUUUCUACAGGUGUCAUUUUCAGUACUUUCAGCAUUUGGUUGUUUUCUGUUAAGUAUUCCUCAUUUUCCAAUAUUUGUGUGUACAUACAUGUAUUCUUGUAAACGUGUAGUAAAUUUUUACUCAUUCAAAUAUU